CCUACGGGAGGCAGCAGUGAGGAAUAUUGGUCAAUGGGCGAGAGCCUGAACCAGCCAAGUCGCGUGAGGGAAGACGGUCCUAUGGAUUGUAAACCUCUUUUGCCGGGGAGCAAAAAGCGGUACGUGUACCGCAUCGAGAGUACCCGGAGAAAAAGCAUCGGCUAACUCCGUGCCAGCAGCCGCGGUAAUACGGAGGAUGCGAGCGUUAUCCGGAUUUAUUGGGUUUAAAGGGUGCGCAGGCGGAUUUUUAAGUCAGCGGUCAAAUCGUGGGGCUCAACCCCAUCCAGCCGUUGAAACUGGGGAUCUAGAGUGUGCGAGAGGUAUGCGGAAUGCGUGGUGUAGCGGUGAAAUGCAUAGAUAUCACGCAGAACCCCGAUUGCGAAGGCAGCAUACCGGUGCACAACUGACGCUCAGGCACGAAAGCGUGGGUAUCGAACAGGAUUAGAUACCCGAGUAGUC
rnacentral:rRNA from 1 species